rnacentral:lncRNA from 1 species
AAAACAAACAGUCGGAAAAAGGGAAACUGUAUUUCUAAGCCAAAAAAGUAAUUUAUAAAUUAUGAUGGCUCAUAUUUAGUCAUUGAGUCGACAUCAAGUAGUUUUCAAAUGCAAACGGAGUAGAAAGCGUGCAGGAAUAGUGUCUUUUCCAAAAGCAAAUUCAUAAAAAAGUUGUUUUACUAUGUCGUUCGAGAAAACAGACAAAAAAUGAGACAACACAACAUGUUGUUUCAGGUUAAAUUAGAGUUUCACUAUUUGAAUACUGCAGUAC